GUCUACGGCCAUGCCACUCUGAGCAAGCCUGAUCUCAUCUGAUCUCAGAAGCGAAGCAGGAUCGGGCCUGGUUAGUAAAAUACUUGAAUGGGAGACCACCUAGGAAGACUGGGUAUUAUAGGCA
ensembl:rRNA 5S_rRNA 5S ribosomal RNA